GACGGCCAACGUCUCUAGCCGGCGAAAAUCAAAGUGAAUCCGAUAUUUUGAUGCUCUAAUUCCUAAUUUAAGUGGUGUUAGGUUUAAUGGUGUUUGUGAGUUUAUAUUGGGAUGAGAAAAUUAUUCAACUCCCAGGUUUGGGUGUUGCUUAUGAUCCCCUCGUGCAAAAUCAUUUAUUAUAUUGCAUGAAAAGAUAUCUUAUUAUCA